AGCCGAGCUUUCGCAAGUGUUCUCCCGUCAGGUCCUCAACAUCCUGGGGGCUGGCUGCACUGGUGGGGCCCCCAAAUUAUCCUGGCUCCCUGGUUGCAAGAGUCUUCAUUAGAGGAGGAUCCUGUCCUUGGAAUCAUUGAGUGCAGAGCCAUAGUAAAGGAAGGGUGUAAACACACCCAAAUGUUGUGAAUUGCUGCUUCUGUUACCAUUUCCUCUGAAGAGGAGGGGCUGAAUUUCAGAGCUGUGGAAUGAGCAGGAGACAGCAGAGCUCAGAGAUGCUGGAAGGAGAAAGCACAAGAAGAGCAUGGGCAUCAGGGGUGCUGAGGGACCAAUACUUUUAGCAGAGGUCAGAGAAGCUGAGCUGAUUGCAUGCCAGAGGAUGAAGAGCGCUCCAUCUGCUUGUGGCUUUAAGCAGCCCACACAAAAAAAUUGCAAAGUGGGUUUUACCUGGACCCAAAGUGAUAUUCUCAGCUACCUGCAAGAUCCAGGCAAUACAGCUUCAGGCAUGUGGUGCAAGAGGAAGAGGAGUGGUUCAGCUCUAGUGCCCAAAGCAGAACAAAACUGCUGUGAAAAUGUGAAGCACAUUUCAGUGAUCUGAUUCUUUAUCUGUACCUCCUUGAUUACAAUCAAGGAAUCAUGAUGACCAGCUAACUUUCAUUAGUGUUUCUGAACUGGUGAUUCUUCAGUGAAGAUAUAUAGGUCUGUCUUUUUCUGCUGUCUGUAUAUGAGUCUGUAUUUGACCUAGAGGUCCCCAUGCCUAUUUCCUCAGUUCCCAGUUCCUGUAGAUUACUUCCACUAGAAUCCUAGAGGAAAAACAUUCUGUGGUUUCUGCUAGUAGCUGUAUGAAUGAAUGUGUGCUACUGUUGAGUGAUUAUGAAUUUGACGCAAAGGCAAGUGUCAUGUGGCUUUUUAGGAAUGCAGCAUAAAAUGCAAGUAUGUAAAGAACUACAGUAGACAGUGCAAUUUACUGAGAGGAGAUGCCAAAACAUGUUAUGAAAUACUCCUUGUGUACUUUAAUAUUUCUUCUGUGUUCUCCCACACAGUGUUCAGAACAAAUUAAAUGACAUGAAGAAUAUUACAGAUUUUUUAAAACAGAUGGAGGACAUCACUUUUAUGGAUUUGAACAAUUCAUUAAAAGUUAGUUUCUGUUAAGAUUCACCAUGCUGUGAUUUUUCUCACAUCUUGUCUGCCUAGUCCAGGCUGAUCCUAAUCUAAGCAGGGGACUGAGGGAGUCCUCUGACUGGUGCACCAGCUGAUGUCUGAACCGCCCUCUCGUCAGCAGAGAAAUAAGGAGACUUUGCAGAAGGAAUGUAAAUUGUGCUCCUGCUGAGCUCAGUGCUGCUGUUGGUAGAGGAGACAGGAUACUGUUGCAUGGGGGAGGAGAUAGGCCACAUCCAUUCGGGUGUUGAAGAAAUGUGUUUUCAUCCUCAACAUUCCCCACAUUAAUGGGGAGUUUUGAGCAUAAUGGGUUAGUGCACAUGUAUUUUAAACAAUGAGAACUGUUUUUGUAAGGACUUAGCAAGGCUCAUUCAGGAUUAGGAAGGUCUGUUUGGUAUAUAUACCAACAGGAUGAGGCACCACUGGCUAUAUUUUCCAGU
ensembl:lncRNA